rnacentral:rRNA from 1 species
ACAGAGGUGGCAAGCGUUGUUCGGAAUUACUGGGCGUAAAGGGCGCGUAGGCGGCCGCCUAAGUCAGACGUGAAAUCCCCAAGCUUAACUUGGGAACUGCGUCUGAUACUGGGUGGCUUGAGUUCGGGAGAGGAAUGUGGAAUUCCAGGUGUAGCGGUGAAAUGCGUAGAUAUCAGGAGGAACACCGGUGGCGAAGGCGGGUCUCUGGGCAACCACUGACGCUGAGGAGCGAAAGCGUGGGGAGCGAACAGGA